GGGACACGUGGUAUCCUGUCUGAAUAUGGGGGGACCAUCCUCCAAGGCUAAAUACUCCUGACUGACCGAUAGUGAACCAGUACCGUGAGGGAAAGGCGAAAAGAACCCCGGCGAGGGGAGUGAAAAAGAACCUGAAACCGUGUACGUACAAGCAGUGGGAGCACGCUUAGGCGUGUGACUGCGUACCUUUUGUAUAAUGGGUCAGCGACUUAUAUUCUGUAGCAAGGUUAACCGAAUAGGGGAGCCGAAGGGAAACCGAGUCUUAACUGGGCGUUAAGUUGCAGGGUAUAGACCCGAAACCCGGUGAUCUAGCCAUGGGCAGGUUGAAGGUUGGGUAACACUAACUGGAGGACCGAACCGACUAAUGUUGAAAAAUUAGCGGAUGACUUGUGGCUGGGGGUGAAAGGCCAAUCAAACCGGGAGAUAGCUGGUUCUCCCCGAAAGCUAUUUAGGUAGCGCCUCGUGAAUUCAUCUCCGGGGGUAGAGCACUGUUUCGGCAAGGGGGUCAUCCCGACUUACCAACCCGAUGCAAACUGCGAAUACCGGAGAAUGUUAUCACGGGAGACACACGGCGGGUGCUAACGUCCGUCGUGAAGAGGGAAACAACCCAGACCGCCAGCUAAGGUCCCAAAGUCAUGGUUAAGUGGGAAACGAUGUGGGAAGGCCCAGACAGCCAGGAUGUUGGCUUAGAAGCAGCCAUCAUUUAAAGAAAGCGUAAUAGCUCACUGGUCGAGUCGGCCUGCGCGGA
rnacentral:rRNA from 2 species